rnacentral:rRNA from 1 species
GGGUUGUGAGGUUAAGCGACUAAGCGUACACGGUGGAUGCCCUGGCAGUCAGAGGCGAUGAAGGACGUGCUAAUCUGCGAUAAGCGUCGGUAAGGUGAUAUGAACCGUUAUAACCGGCGAUUUCCGAAUGGGGAAACCCAGUGUGUUUCGACACACUAUCAUUAACUGAAUCCAUAGGUUAAUGAGGCGAACCGGGGGAACUGAAACAUCUAAGUACCCCGAGGAAAAGAAAUCAACCGAGAUUCCCCCAGUAGCGGCGAGCGAACGGGGAGCAGCCCAGAGCCUGAAUCAGUGUGUGUGUUAGUGGAAGCGUCUGGAAAGGCGCGCGAUACAGGGUGACAGCCCCGUACACAAAAAUGCACAUGCUGUGAGCUCGAUGAGUAGGGCGGGACACGUGGUAUCCUGUCUGAAUAUGGGGGGACCAUCCUCCAAGGCUAAAUACUCCUGACUGACCGAUAGUGAACCAGUACCGUGAGGGAAAGGCGAAAAGAACCCCGGCGAGGGGAGUGAAAAAGAACCUGAAACCGUGUACGUACAAGCAGUGGGAGCACGCUUAGGCGUGUGACUGCGUACCUUUUGUAUAAUGGGUCAGCGACUUAUAUUCUGUAGCAAGGUUAACCGAAUAGGGGAGCCGAAGGGAAACCGAGUCUUAACUGGGCGUUAAGUUGCAGGGUAUAGACCCGAAACCCGGUGAUCUAGCCAUGGGCAGGUUGAAGGUUGGGUAACACUAACUGGAGGACCGAACCGACUAAUGUUGAAAAAUUAGCGGAUGACUUGUGGCUGGGGGUGAAAGGCCAAUCAAACCGGGAGAUAGCUGGUUCUCCCCGAAAGCUAUUUAGGUAGCGCCUCGUGAAUUCAUCUCCGGGGGUAGAGCACUGUUUCGGCAAGGGGGUCAUCCCGACUUACCAACCCGAUGCAAACUGCGAAUACCGGAGAAUGUUAUCACGGGAGACACACGGCGGGUGCUAACGUCCGUCGUGAAGAGGGAAACAACCCAGACCGCCAGCUAAGGUCCCAAAGUCAUGGUUAAGUGGGAAACGAUGUGGGAAGGCCCAGACAGCCAGGAUGUUGGCUUAGAAGCAGCCAUCAUUUAAAGAAAGCGUAAUAGCUCACUGGUCGAGUCGGCCUGCGCGGAAGAUGUAACGGGGCUAAACCAUGCACCGAAGCUGCGGCAGCGACGCUUAUGCGUUGUUGGGUAGGGGAGCGUUCUGUAAGCCUGCGAAGGUGUACUGUGAGGCAUGCUGGAGGUAUCAGAAGUGCGAAUGCUGACAUAAGUAACGAUAAAGCGGGUGAAAAGCCCGCUCGCCGGAAGACCAAGGGUUCCUGUCCAACGUUAAUCGGGGCAGGGUGAGUCGACCCCUAAGGCGAGGCCGAAAGGCGUAGUCGAUGGGAAACAGGUUAAUAUUCCUGUACUUGGUGUUACUGCGAAGGGGGGACGGAGAAGGCUAUGUUGGCCGGGCGACGGUUGUCCCGGUUUAAGCGUGUAGGCUGGUUUUCCAGGCAAAUCCGGAAAAUCAAGGCUGAGGCGUGAUGACGAGGCACUACGGUGCUGAAGCAACAAAUGCCCUGCUUCCAGGAAAAGCCUCUAAGCAUCAGGUAACAUCAAAUCGUACCCCAAACCGACACAGGUGGUCAGGUAGAGAAUACCAAGGCGCUUGAGAGAACUCGGGUGAAGGAACUAGGCAAAAUGGUGCCGUAACUUCGGGAGAAGGCACGCUGAUAUGUAGGUGAAGUCCCUCGCGGAUGGAGCUGAAAUCAGUCGAAGAUACCAGCUGGCUGCAACUGUUUAUUAAAAACACAGCACUGUGCAAACACGAAAGUGGACGUAUACGGUGUGACGCCUGCCCGGUGCCGGAAGGUUAAUUGAUGGGGU